UCGGUUUCUAGGGAAAGGCUGCAUGUGUGGUGGGUCACAAAGUGAGGAGCCCAAUACAGGAGGAGGAGGUUAGACAGAAGAUGAAGGACCCAGUUUAGUCUAACUUCAUAGUCAAGAGCCAUGGUUAAAGGUGGGCCGGCUCCCUGGGGCCCCGGAUGAUGUCCCCUCUACGAGAAGCUCCCACUGCACCCACCCAGUGCAGACCUCCAACCUGCCAGCCUGCAGGAGCCGUUUACAGUGAAGCCUGAACUUCCACCUGCCAGAGUAAGCAAGUGAUGUUGAAGGUGUCCCCCUGACGGACUGAGGUUUCCUUCAGGCUUUGGAGUCUUACUCACCUAGAACCACCUCUGAGCCGAUGG